rnacentral:rRNA from 1 species
AACGAACGCUGGCGGCAUGCCUAACACAUGCAAGUCGAACGAGACCUUCGGGUCUAGUGGCGCACGGGUGCGUAACGCGUGGGAACCUGCCCUUAGGUUCGGAAUAACUCCCCGAAAGGGGUGCUAAUACCGGAUAAUGUCUUCGGACCAAAGAUUUAUCGCCUUUGGAUGGGCCCGCGUUGGAUUAGCUAGUUGGUAGGGUAAAAGCCUACCAAGGCGACGAUCCAUAGCUGGUCUGAGAGGAGGAUCAGCCACACUGGGACUGAGACACGGCCCAGACUCCUACGGGAGGCAGCAGUGGGGAAUAUUGGACAAUGGGCGAAAGCCUGAUCCAGCAAUGCCGCGUGAGUGAUGAGGGCCUUAGGGUUGUAAAGCUCUUUUACCCGGGAUGAUAAUGACAGUACCGGGAGAAUAAGCGCCGGCUAACUCCGUG